AAAAAAGGUAAGCUACUAAGAGCGAAUGGUGGAUGCCUUGACUGGUAAAGGCGAUGAAGGACGUACUAGACUGCGAUAAGCUACGGGGAGCUGUCAAGAAGCUUUGAUCCGUAGAUUUCCGAAUGGGGCAACCCAAUGUAUAGAGAUAUACAUUACCUAUAUAGGAGCGAACGAGGGGAAUUGAAACAUCUUAGUACUCUCAGGAAAAGAAAUCAAUAGAGAUUGCGUCAGUAGCGGCGAGCGAAAGCGCAAGAGGGCAAACCCAGUGCUUGCACUGGGGGUUGUAGGACUGCAAUGUGCAAGAGGUAAGUUUAGCAGAACAUUCUGGAAAGUAUAACCAUAGAGGGUGAUAGUCCCGUAUGCGAAAAACAAACCUUAGCUAGCAGUAUCCUGAGUAGGGCGGGACACGAGGAAUCCUGUCUGAAUCCGGGUCGACCACGAUCCAACCCUAAAUACUAAUACCAGAUCGAUAGUGCACAAGUACCGUGAGGGAAAGGUGAAAAGAACUGAGGUGAUCAGAGUGAAAUAGAACCUGAAACCAUUUGCUUACAAUCAUUCAGAGCCCUAUGUAGCAAUACAGGGUGAUGGACUGCCUUUUGCAUAAUGAGCCUGCGAGUUGUGGUGUCUGGCAAGGUUAAGCAAACGCGAAGCCGUAGCGAAAGCGAGUCUGAAUAGGGCGCUUAGUCAGAUGCUGCAGACCCGAAACGAAGUGAUCUAUCCAUGAGCAAGUUGAAGCUAGUGUAAGAACUAGUGGAGGACUGAACCCAUAGGCGUUGAAAAGCCCCGGGAUGACUUGUGGAUAGGGGUGAAAGGCCAAUCAAACUUCGUGAUAGCUGGUUCUCUCCGAAAUAUAUUUAGGUAUAGCGUUGUGUCGUAAUAUAAGGGGGUAGAGCACUGAAUGGGCUAGGGCAUACACCAAUGUACCAAACCCUAUCAAACUCCGAAUACCUUAUAUGUAAUCACAGCAGUCAGGCGGCGAGUGAUAAAAUCCGUCGUCAAGAGGGAAACAACCCAGACUACCAGCUAAGGUCCCUAAAUCUUACUUAAGUGGAAAACGAUGUGAAGUUACUUAAACAACCAGGAGGUUGGCUUAGAAGCAGCCAUCCUUUAAAGAAAGCGUAAUAGCUCACUGGUCUAGUGAUUUUGCGCGGAAAAUAUAACGGGGCUAAAGUAAGUACCGAAGCUGUAGACUUAGUUUAC
rnacentral:rRNA from 1 species